rnacentral:rRNA from 1 species
UACAGAGGUCUCAAGCGUUGUUCGGAUUCAUUGGGCGUAAAGGGUGCGUAGGCGGCGCGGUAAGUCGGGUGUGAAAUCUCGGGGCUUAACUCCGAAACUGCAUUUGAUACUGCCGUGCUUGAGGACUGGAGAGGAGACUGGAAUUUACGGUGUAGCGGUGAAAUGCGUAGAUAUCGUAAGGAAGACCAGUGGCGAAGGCGGGUCUCUGGACAGUUCCGUGACGCUGAGG